rnacentral:lncRNA from 1 species
GGCAAAACGUCCGCCCGGGCCCGAGGCGGGCGGAGGCAGCUGUGGUUACGUGCGGGGGGCCGGUGACGCAGUCGCGGGGCGCUGGGACGCGGCUUGCGGAGCCGGCCGGCGAGCGCAGGCCCCAGGCUCGGGCGCGGCGGCGGGACAGCACCUACCUUCCCGGCUUCGGGUCCGGGAGUGCGGGGCGCGGAGCCGCCGGAGCGCUGCCUCCCUCCUUCCUCCUCCCCUCGCCCCCGCCCCGCGGCGCGACACACAAUACUCGCCGGAAGCGGAAGCCGCGCCGAGGCUCGUGUCAGUGGAAGCUGGGGUGUCGGCGGGCGGCCGCGGCCGGGUCUAGCGGUGCCUGCGGAAGAAGGAGGAGGAGGGCUGGCGAUGAGAAGCAGCAGGGGGAAUCAAGGGCAAGAAGGGACCCAGAGGGGCAGGUGGCUGAGAUGCUGGCGUCCAGGUGACCCGAGGAAUCCUCUGGAGAUACAGGCCCGCGCAUGCGCGUGCUCGAGCGCUGAAGCCCAUUGCCCGCAGGGCGCUGGACUGGCGCCCCGGCCGGCGAGGCUGUCUAGUCCAGGCUCCAGGCCCCGGCUCUGGCCAGGCGCCGCCGCCUCCCGGUGCAGCUGAAAGUCGACGAAGAGGGCGGGGCGGGGGCGGCUUGUGGACUUCCACACUUUUCCUCUCUUCGGGCCAGUCUGGGGAGAGGGUGGCUAGCUGUGGCGGCGGCCAAUUACGUGGCGGACCUGCGGGGCUAAGCUGGCACGUCACUUCCGACUAGUGGAGUUUUUAGCCUUUUAACAUUCAAGGAUUAGGUAAGUUCUCCCCGCGGUAGACUUCAAAUACUCUUUGUCCUGCCCCUGCUUGGCGAAAUUUACCGAAAUUAUCUACCUAUCCCGCUGGAGUGGGAGCCGGGGGAGAGCUGGAACCGCGUCUCUGCUGCUCACCUUUGUGUCCUUAGCUCCUUCGCAUGGGGUCCGACCGCAACACGUGCGCUGGAUAAACGCUUGUUAACUGGAGCUCCCUCUUUGCCCACUAGCAGGGCAUUAGCUGGUGCUGAAGACAGUGGCUGCUUGGCGAGCCUGGAUCUCCAAGUGACCCCCUCAGCAACUCCUGAUGAACAGGGACUUGCACUUAGGAAUCUGUUACAGUGAGCACAGAAGCAGACCUGUGGGCUCAUAGUCUUCACCCCCCACCCAUAUAUACAAGAUGAACAGAGUGGAGGUUAAACAACUUGACUAAACAACACAGUUCAUGGUAAAGCCCAAGACUGUACCUGCCCAUCCACUGCCUUUUCCAUGUAUCCUGGAACUGAGCAUAGACCUCUUCCCAGGCAGAGCUGACAGCAAGUAAAGGAGAUCAUAAUCAGGGGACCAAACAACUUUGUCUAAAGUGUGAAUGUCACCUAAGGAGAAGCUGUGAGAUCAGAAGGGUGGGGCAGAGGAGCAGACACCAUGAGGGAGAGUCCUUGGGGGUACAUCUGCCAGACUGACACUGUCUGGCCUGGGCAGUGGAGGGGCUAGCAGGAACCACAGGUACUGGUGGUGUGGCUACUACCGUUACAACUGCCUGUGCUUGGACAUGGACCCUCUGCAAUAUGCGGCAGUUUCAUUCAUUGCCCCCUACAUUCUACACCAAGUAGAAAUGGAAGGCAAUUGGAUACUUCACAGACAAGAUCUAAGUGGAGAAGGAAUGCGUCCUGUGGCUGCAGAGAUCCUUGGAGCUUGGAGGGGAGAGCUUGAGCCCCACUGAUGAUGACCUCCCACAGCUCGCCAACUCAGCCCUCCCUAAGUCCCCAUCGGGGGCCAAUUCUCACUCUGGGGUUGGGGGGACUCCACCAUAGCUCAUCCAUCAUAGGGAUGUUGGUAUCUACUGUGGGUUGGGUAGGGCCGAUGUGCUGAGGAUGGCUCCCCCACAAGCAAGAGAUGUGGAUUUGGGGAGCUUCCCAUCUUGUGUUGAAGGAACAUAACUCAGAAUAAUAAGAGCCAACUAUAACAAACCCACAGCCAACAUCAUACUGAAUGGGCAAAAGCUGCAGGCAUUCCCCUUGAAAAGUGGCACAGGAUAAGGAAGCCCUUUCUCACCACUCCUAUUCAAUAUAGUGUUGAAAGUCCUGAUCACAGCAGUCAGGCAACAGAAAUAAUAAAGGGCAUCCAAAUAGGAAGAGAGGAAGUCAAACUAUCCUUGUUUGCAGACAGUAUGAUUCUAUAUCUAGAAAACCCCAUAGCCUCAGCCCAAAAGGUCCUUCAUCUGAUAAUUUCAGCAAAGUUUCAGGAGACAAAAUCAGUGUACAAAAAUCACUAACAUUCCUAUACACAGUCGCCAAGCCAAGAGCCAAAUCAGGAGCACAAUCCCAUUCAUAAUUGCCACAAAAAAGAAUAAAAUACCCAGGAAUGCAGCUAACCAAGGAAGUAAAGGAUCUCUACAAUGAGAAUCACAAACGCUGCUCAAAGAAAUCAGAGAUGACACAAACAAAUGGAAAAACUUUCCAUGCUCAUGGCUAGGAAGAAUCAAUAUCAUUAAAGUGGCCAUACUACCCAAAGCAAUUUAUAGAUUCAAUGCUAUUCCUAUCAAACUAUCAAUUACAUUUUUCACAGAACUAGAAAAAACUUAAAAUUCAUAUGGAACCAAAAAGCCUGAGUAGUCAAGGCAAUCCUAAACAAAAAGAACAAAGGUGGAGGCAUCACAUUACCUAACUUCAAACUACAGGGCUACCAUGACCAAAACAGCAUGGUACUGGUACAAAAGCAGACACACAGACCAGUGGGACAGAAUAGAGAGCCCAAAAAUAAGGCCACAAACCUACAGCCAUCUGAUCUUCAACAAAGUUGACAAAAACAAGCAAUGGGGAAAGGUCUCCCUAUUCAAUAAAUGGUGCUGGGAUAACUGGCUGGCCAUAUGCAGAAGAUCGUAACUGGACCCCUUUUACUAUGUACAAAAAUUAAGAUGGUUUAAAGAGUUAAAACCCAAAAUUAUAAAAAUCCUGAAGAUAACUUAGGCAAUACCAUUCUGGACAUAGGAACUGGCAAAUAUUUCAUGAUGAAGACACCAAAAGCAAUUGUAACAAAAGCAAAAAUGGACAAAUUGGAUUUAAGAGCUUUUUCAUAGCAAAAUAAACAACAGGGCAGACAAUCUACCAAAUGACAGAAAAUUUUUGCAAACUAUGCAUCUGACAAGGGGCUAAUAUCUAGCAUCUAUAAGGAAUUUAAACACAGUUACAGGAAAAAAAAAACCCACUCCAUUAAAAAAUGGGCAAAGGACAUGAACAGACACUUUUCAAAAAAGACAUACAUACAGCCAACUAGCGUGUUAAAGAAAACCUCAAUUAUCACUGAUCAUUAGAGAAAUGCAAAAUCAAAACCAUGAUGAGAUAUCAUCUGCCAGUCAGGAUGGCUACAAAAAAGUAAAAAAAUAAUAGAUGUUGGUGAGGUUAUGGAGAAAAGGAACUUAUACACUUGUUAGGAGUGUAAAUUAGUUCAAUCACUGUGGACAGCAGUGUGGUGAUUCCUCAGAGAGCUAAAAACAACUACCAUUUGACUCACCAAUCCCAUUACUGGAUAUUUACCUAAAGGAAUAUAAAUCAUUCCACCAUAAAGACACAUGCAAGUGUAUGUUCAUUGCAGCACUAUUAACAGUAACAAAGCUGGGCACAGUGGCUCACCUCACGACUGUAAUCCCAGCACUUUGGGAGGCUGAGGUAGGCGGAUCACCUGAGGUCGGCAGUUUGAGACCAGCCUGACCAACAUGGAGAGACCCCAUCUCUACUAAAAAUACAAAAUUAGCCAGGUGUGGUGGCUCAUGCCUGUAAUCCCAGCUACUUGGGAGGCCAAGGCAGGAGAAUUGCUUGAACCCAGGAGGCAGAGGUUGCAGUGAGCCGAGAUCACACCAUUGCACUCUAGCCUGGUGAAGGAGCAAGACUCCAUCUCAAAAAAAAAAAAAAAAAAGAAAGAAAGAAAAAUACACAUUCAGAGGAGACAAAAAAUAAAAAACAAUGAUGCAUGCCCACAGGAUCUAGAAAAUAACUUCUUAAGGGCAAAUCUAGGAGUUAUUGGCCUUAAAGAAGAGAUAGAGAAAGAGAUAGGAAUAGAAAGUUUGUUGAAAGGGAUAAUAACAUAGAACUUCCUAAACCUACAGAAAGAUAUUUAUAUCCAAGUACAAGAAGGUUAUAGAACACCAGGCCAAUUUAACCCAAAGAUUACCUCAAGGCAUUUAAUAAUCAAACUCCCACAGGACAAGGGUAAAGAAAGGAUCCUAAAAGCAGCAAGAGAAAAGAAACAGAUAACAUACAAUGGAGCUCCAAUACAUCUGGCAGUAUAUUUUUCAGUGGAAACCUUACAAGCCAGGAGAGAGUGACAUGACAUAUGUUAAAGUGCUGAAGGGAAAAAACCUUUUACCCUAGAAUAGUAUAUCCAGCAAAAAUAUCCUUCAAACAUGAAGAAUAAACAAAGACUUCCCCAGACAAACAAAAGCUGAGGGAUUUCAUCAACACUAGACUGGUCCCAUAAGAAACGCUUAAGGGAGUACUUUGGUCAGAAAGAAACAGACAUUAAUGAGCAACAAAGAAUCAUCUAAAGGUAAAAAACUCACUGUUAAGAGUAAGUACACAGAAAAACCCAAAGUGUGAUAACAUUGUAACUGUGGUGUGUAAGUAGAAAGAAUAAAUGAUAAACCAAUCAAAAAUAGUAACUACAACUUUUCAAGACCAGUCAGAAAAAUAAGAUAAAAUUAGAAACAACAAAAAGUUAAAAAGUGGGGGGAUGAAGUUAAGAUGUAGAGUUUUUAUUAGUUUUUUGUUUGUUAAUGCAAACAGUGUUACCAGGUUAAAAUAAUGGGUUACAAAAUAGUAUUUGUAAUCCUUAUGGUAACCUCAAACCUAAAAACAUACACUGGAUACAUAAAAAAUAAAAAGCAAAAACCUAAAUCAUAUCACCAGAGCAAACUACCUUCCCUAAAGGAAGACAGGAAGAAAAGAAAGAAGAAGACCACAAAACAACCAGAAAACAAAUAAAUAACAAGGCAGGAGUAAGUCUUUACUUAUCGAUAAUACAUUGAAUGGAAAUAUGGACUAAACUCUCCAAUCAAAAGACAUAGACUGGCUGAAUGAAUGGAGAAAACAAGACCCAUUGAUCUGUUGCCUACAAGAAACACACUUAAACUAUAAAGACACACAUAGGCUGAAAGUAAAGAGUUGGAAAGAGUUAUUCCAUGCCAAUGGAAACCAGGAAAAAGAGAAGGAGUAUUGAUUUUGAUACAAAAACUAUGAGACAAAUAAAGUCACUAUACAAUGAUAAAGGGGUUAAUAUGGUUUCCAUUUGUGCCCCACCCAAAUUUCGUGUUCUAUUGUAAUCCUCAAUGUUGGAGGUGGGGCCUGGUGGGACGUGAUUAGAUCAUGGGGGUGGAUCUUUCAUGACUAAUUCAGCACCAUCUUCUUAGUGCUGUUCUCAUGAUAGUGAGUUCUUCUGAAAUCUGGUUGCUUAAAAGUGUGUAGCACCUCUCCACACCACCCGCUUGCCUUGGUCUACUCCUGCUAUGUAGAUGCUUGCUCCCACUUUGCAUUAUUCCAUGAGUAAAAGCUCCCUCAGGCCUUCCCAGAAUCAGAUGCCGCUAUGCUUCCUGAACAGCCUGUGGAACUAUGAGCCAAUUCAACCUCUUUUCUUCAUAAAUUAACAAGUCUUGGGUAUUUCUUUAUAGCAGUGUGAGAACAGAAUAAUACAGAAAAUUGGUAAAGAGGAGUGAGGCAUUGCUAGAAAGAUACCUGAAAAUGUGGAAACAGCAGUGGAACUGGGAAAUAGACAGAGGUUGGAAGAGUGUGGAGGGCUCCGAAGAUAGGAAGAUGAGGGGAAGUUUGGAAUUUCUUAGAGAUUUGUUAAAUUGUUUUGACCAAAAUACUGAUGGUGAUAUGGACAAUGAAGUCCAGGCUGAGGAGGUCUCAGAUGGAGAUGAGGGACUUAUUGGGACCUGGAGUGAAGGUCACUUUUGUUAGGACAUUGUGGUUGGAGACAUUGUGCCCCUGCCCUAGGAAUCUGUGGAACUUUGAACUUGAGAGCGAAGAUUUAGGGUAUCUGGCAGAAGAAAUUUCUAAGCAGCAAAGCGUUCAAGACGUGGCCUGGCUGCUUCUGGUAGUCUGUGCUCAUAUUUGUGAGCAAAGACAUGACAAGAAACUGGAACUUAUAUUUAAAAAGGAAGCAGAGUGUAAAAGUUUGGAGAAUUUGCAGCCUGGCCAUGUUGUAGAAAAGAAAAAAACCAUUUUCUGGAGAGGAAUUCAAGCUAGCUGCAGAAAAUUGCAAGUAACAAGGAGCAAAAUGUUGAUAGCCAAGAUAGUGGGAAAAACACCUUGAAGGCAUUUCAGAUACCUUGGGGGCAGCCUCUCCCAUCACAGGCCCAAAGGCCUAGGAGGGAAGGAUGGUUUCCUGGGCCAGGCUCAGGGUCCUGCUGCCCUGCACAACCUCAGGAAACUGCUCUCCAAAUCCCAGCUGCUCCAGCUCCAGCUUCAGCUCAAAGGGCCCCAGGUAUAGCUCAGGCUGCUGCUCCAUAGGAUGCAAGUUAUAAGCCUUAGUGGCUCCCGUGUGGUGUUAAAUUAAGCCUGUAGGUGCACAGAGUGCAAGAAUUGAGGCUUGGGAGCCUCCAACUAGAUUUCAGAGUAUGUGUGGGAAAGCCUGGAUGUCCAGGCAGAAGCCAGCUGCAGGGACAGAGCCCUCAUGGAGAACCUCUACUAGGGUAGUGUGGAGGGGAAAUUUGGGGUUGGAGUUCCCACACAGCUUCCCCUCUGGUGUACUGCCUAGUGGAGCUGUGAGAAGACAGCCACUGUCCUCCAGAUUCCAGGAUGAUAGAUCUGCCAAUGACAGCUUGCACUGUACAACUGGAAAAGCCACAGGCAGUCAAUGCCAGCCCGUGAAAGCAGUGACAGUGGCUUACCCUGCAAAGUCCCAGGGGCUGAGCUGCCCAAGGCCUUGGGAGCCCACCCCUUGCACCAGUGUGCCCUGGAUGUGAGAUAUGGAGUCAAAGGAGAGUAUUUUGGAGCUUUAAGAUUUAAUGACUACCUGCUGGGUUUCAGACUUGCAUGGGUCCAGUAGCCCCUUUCUUUUGGCCAAUUUCUCACUUUUGGAAUGGGAGUGUUUACCCAAUUCCUGUACCCCCACUGUAUGUUGGAAGUAACUAACUGUUUUUUUAUUUUGUAAGCUCACAGGUGGGAGAGACUUGCCUUGUCUCAGGUUGAGACUCUGGACUUUGGACUUUUGAAUUAAUGCUGGAAUGAGUUAAGACUUUGAGGGACUGUUGGGAAGAUAUAACUGUAUUUUGCAGUAUGAGAAGGACAUGAGAUUUGGGAGACACCAGAGGUGGAAUAAUAUGAUUUGGAUCUGCAUCCCCACCAAAAUCUCAUGUUCAAUUGUAAUCCUAAAUUUUGGAGGUUGAGCCUGGUGGAAGAGGAUUGGAUAAUGGGGGUGGUUUCUCAUGGUUUAACACCAUCCCCCUGGGUGCUGUUCUCAUGACAGUGAGUGAGUUAUUGUGAGAUCUGAUUGUUUAAAAGUGUGUGCCACCUCCUCCCACUUUCCUCCUGCUCCAGCCAUGUAAGACAGGCUUGCCUCCCCUUCACCUUUUGUCAUGAUUGUAAGUGUUCUGAGGCCUCCCCAGCCAUGCUUCCUGUACAGCCUGCAGAACUGUGAGCCAAUUAAACCUCUUUUCUCUAUAUAUUACCCAGUCUCGGGUAUUUCUUUAUAGCAGUGCAAGAAUAGACUAAUACAGGGUUCAAUUCAGCAAGAGGAUAUAACAAAUAUAAAUAUAUAUGCACUCAACACUGCAGCACCCAGAUAUAUAAAGCAAAUACGAUUAGAGCUAAAGAGAGAGAGUGACCCCAAUACAAUAAUAGCUGGAGACUUCAACACCACAUUUUCAGCACUGGACAGAUCUUCCAGACAGAAAAUAAAAAAGAAACAUCAGACUUAAUCUGCACUGUAGAUCAAAUGGAUCUAAUACAUACUUGCAGAACAUUUUAUCCAAUGGCUGCAGAAUACACAUUCUUUUUUAGCACAUGUAUCAUUCUCAAGGAUAGACCAUAUGUUAGGUCACAAGUCUUAAAACAUUAAAAAAGUUGAAUACCAUCAAGCAUCUUCUCUGACCACAGUGGAAUACAACUAGAAACUAAUAACAAGAGGAAUUUUUGAAACUACAAAUACAUGAAAAUUAAACAAUAUGCUCCUGAAUGACCAUUGAGUCAAUGAAGAAAUUAAGAAGGAAAUUGAACAAUUUCUUGAAACAAAUGAUAAAGGAAACACAACAUACCAAAACCUAUGGGAUACGGCAAAAGCAGUACUAAGAGGCAAAUUGAUAGCUAUAAGUGCCUACAUGAAAAAAGAGGAAAAACUUCAAAUAAGCAAUUUAACAAUGAACCUUAACCAGAAAAGCAAGAGCAAAACAAACACAAAAUUAGAAGAAAACAAAUAAUAAAAAUUAGAGCAUAAAUAAAUAAAAUUGAAAUAAAAAUCAAUGCAAAAGAACAAUGAAACAAAAAGUUGCUUUUUUUCAAAAGUUAAACAAAACUGACAAGCCUUUAGCAAGACUGAGAAAAAAGAGACAAGAUACAAAUCAGAAAUGAAAAAGACAUUACAACUGACACUGCAGAAAUUCAAAGGAUCAUUAGGGGCUACUAUGAGCAACUCUAUGCCAAUAAAUUGGAAAAUCUAGAAGAAAUUGACAAUUCCUAGACACAUACAACCUACUGAGACUGGACCAGGAAGAAAUCCAAAACCUGAACAGACUAAUAACAAGUAACAAGGUUGAAGCCAUAAUAAAAAGUCUCCCACUAAAGAAAACCAAGGACCCGAUGGCUUCACUGUUGAAUUCUACCAAACAUUUAAAGAAGAACUAAUACCAAUCCCACUCAAGCUAUUGAAAAAUAGAGGAGGAGAGAAUAUUUCCAAAGUCAUUCUAGGAGACCAGUAUCACCCUGAUACCAAAACCAGACAAAGACACAUCAAAAAAAGAAAACUGCUGGCCAAUUUCUCUGAUGAAUAUUGAUGCCAGAAUCCUCAGCAAAAUAUUAGCAAACUAAAUUCAACAAUACAUUAAAAAGAUCAUUCAUCAGGGUCGGGUGCAGUGGCUUAAGCCUCUAAUCCCAGCACUUUGGGAGGCCGAGGUGGGCAGAUCACCUGAGGUCAGGAGUUCAAGACCAGCCUGACCAACAUGGUGAAACCUCGUCUCUACUGAAAAUACAAAAUUAGCCGAGUGUGGUGGUGCAUGCCUGUAAUCCCAGCUACUCAGGAGACUGAGGCAGGAGAAUCACUUGAACCCAGGAGGUGGAGGUUGCAGUGAGCUGAGAUUGUGGCACUGCACUCCAGCCUUGGUGACAGAGUGAGACUCCAUUAAAAAAAAAAUCAUUUAUCAUGACCAAGUGGGAUUUAUCCCUGGAAUGCAAGGAUGGUUCAACACAUGCAAAUCAAUCAAUGUAAUACAUCAUAUCAAAAAGAAUGAUUAAAACCAUAUGAUUAUUUCUAUUGAUGCUGAAAAAGUAGUUUAUAAAAUCCAACAUCCCUUCAUGAUAAAAACCCUCAAAAAACUGUAUAAAAGAAAUAUACCUCAACGUAAUAGCCAGAUAUGACAGACCCACAGCUAGUAUCAUACUGAAUGGGGAAAAAGUGAAAGACUUUCCUAUAAGAUCUGGAACACAACAGGGAUGUUCACUGUCACCACUGUUAUUCAACAAAGUACUGGAUGUUCUAGCUAGAGCGAUCAGACAAGAGAAGAUAUAAAGGCCAUCCAAACUGGAAAGGGAGAAGUUAAAUUACCCUAGUUUGCAGAUGAUAUGAACUUAUAUUUGGAAAAAACCUAAAGGCUCCACAGGAAAACUAUUAGAAUCAAUAAAUUCAGUAAAGUUGCAGGACACAAAAUCAACAUAUAAAAACCAGUAGCAUUUCUAUAUGUCAACAGUGAACAAUUUGAAAAAUUUUAAAUUUAAGAAGGUAAUUUCAUUUACAAUAGCCACACAUAAAAUUAAAUACCUAGGAAUUAACCAAAAAUGUGCAAGAUAUCUAUGAGGAGAAUUAUAAAACAUUGAUGAAAGAAAUUGAAGAGGACACAAAAAAAAUGGAAAAAAUUCCAUCUUUAUGGAUUGGAAGAAUCAAUAUUGUUAAAAUGUCCAUACUACCCAAAGCAAUCUACAGAUUUAAUGCAAUCCCUAUCAAAAUACCAAUAAUAGUCUUCAGAGAAAUAGAAAAAAAAAUCCCAAAAUUUAUAUGAAAACACAGAAUGCCCAGAAUAGCCAAAAUUAUAUUAAGCAAAAAGAUCAAAACUGGAGGAAUCACAUUACCUGACUUCAAAUUAUGCUACAGAGCUAUAAUCACCAAAACAGCAUGGUACUGACAUAAAAACAGACACAUAGUCCAACAGAACAGAAUAGAGAACCUAGAAACAAAUCCACACACUCACAGGGAACUCAUUUUUGACAGAGUUGCCAAGUACUUAUACUGGAGAAAAGAAAAGACAGUCUCUUCAAUGAAAUGGUGCUGGGAAAACUGGAUAUCCAUAUGCAGAAGAAUGAAACUAGACCCCUACCUCUCACUGUAGACAAAAGUCAAAUCAAGGCUAGGCAUGGUGGCUUACACCUGUAAUCUCAGCACUUUGGGAGGCUGAGGCAGGCGUAUCACGAGGUGAAGAGAUUGAGACCAUCCUGACCAACAUGGUGAAACUCACCCCCCCCCACCCACUAAAAAUACAAAAAUUAGCUGGGCGUGAUGGCAUGUGCCUGCAGUCCUAGCUACUCAGGAGGCUGGGGCAGGAGAAUCGCUUGAACCCAGGAGGUGGAGGUUGCAGUGAGCUGAGAUUGUGCCACUGCACUCCAGCCUGGCGACAGAGCAAGACUCCAUCUCAAAAAAUAAAAAAUAAAUUCAAAAUGUAAUAAAGACUUAAAUCUAAGACCUCAAACAUGAAACUACUAUAAGAAAACAUUGGGGAAAACCUCCAGGACAGUAGUCUGGCCAAAAAUUUCUUGAGCAAUACCCCACAAGCACAGGCAACCAAAAUAAAACUGGACAAAUAGUAUCACAUCAAGUUUAAAAGCUUCUACAAAGCAAAGGAUACAAUCAAUAAAGAGACAACCCACAGAAUGGGAGAAAAUAUUUGCAAACUACCCAUCUGACAAAGAAAUAAUAACCAGAGUAUAUAAGAAGCUCAAACAACUCUAUAGUAAAAAAAAAAAAAAAAAAAAUUCUAAAAGUCUAAGUAAAAAAAUGGGCAAAAGAUUUGAAUAGACAUUUCUCAAAAGAAGACAUACAGGCCAUGCGUGGUGGCUCAUGCCUGUAAUCCCAGCACUUUGGGAGGCCCAGGCGGGUGGAUCACUUGAGGUCAGGAGUUCGAGACCAGCCUGACCAACAUUGUGAAACUCCGUCUCUACUAAAAAUACAAAAAUAAGCCAGGCAUGGUGGCGCACACCUGUAAUCCCAGCUACUCAGGAGGCUGAGGCAGGAGAAUCGCUUAAACCUGGGAGACAGAGGUUGCAGUAAGCCGAGAUCACACCACUGCACUCCAGCCUGGGCAACAAAGUGAGACUCCGUCUCACAAAAAAAAAAAAAAAAAAAAAAAAAAAAGAAAAGAAAAAGGAAGAAGACAUACAAAGCCAGGUACAGUGGCUUAUGCCUCUAAUCCUAGCACUUUAGGAGGCCAAGGCAGAUGGAAUUGAGCCCAGAAGUUUGAGACCAGACUGAGCAAUAUGGUCAAACCCCAAUUCUGCAAAAUACAAAAAUAAAAAAUAGCUGGGAGUGGUGGUGCACACCUGUAGUCCCAGCUACUUAGGAAGCUGAGAUGGGAGGAUCACUUGAGCCUGCAGUGAAUCAUAAUUGCACCAAUGCACUCCAGCCUGGGCGACAGAGUGAGAGACAUUGUCUCAAAAAAAAGAAAAAGAAAAAAAAGAAAGGACAUAAAAAUGACAAACAGGCAUAUGAAAAGGUGCUGAUGAUUAUUGAUCCUCAGAGAAAUGCAAAUCAAAACUGCAAUGAGAUAUAAUCUCACCCCAGUUAAAAUGGCUUAUAUCCAAAAGACAGGCAAUAACAAAUGCUGGUGAGGAUGUGGAUAAAAGGGAACCCUCGUACACUGUUGAUGGGAAUGUAAAUUAGUACAACCACUAUGGAUAACAGUUUAGAGGUUCCUCAGAAAACUAAAAAUUGAGUUGCGAUAUGAUGCAACAAUCCUACUGCUGGGUAUAUACCCCACAAAAGACAAAACCAGCGUUUUGCAUGGUGGCUCACACCUGUAAUCCCAGCACUAUGGGAGGCCGAGGAGGGCAGAUCACUUGAGCCCAGAAGUUCAAGACCAGCCCGAGCAACAUGGCAAAACCUGAUUUCUACAAAAUACAAAAAAAAAAUUAGGCAGUUGUAGUGGUUCACACCUAUAGUCCUAGCUACUGUGGAGGCUGAGGUAGGAUCACUUGAACCUAGGAGGUGGAGGUUGCAGUGAGCCAAGAUCAUGCCACUGCACUCCAGCCUGGGUGACAAAGUGUGACCCUGUCUCAAAAAAGAAAAUCAGUAUAUGGAAGAGGUAUCUGCACUCCUAUGUUUUUUACAACACUGUUUACAAUAGCUAAGAUUUGGAAGCAACCUAAAUGUCUAACAGCAGAUGAAUGGAUAAGGAAAAUUUGGUAUGUAUACACAAUGAAGUACUAUUCAGCCAUAAAAAGGAAUGAGAUCCAGUCAUUUGCAACAGCAUGGAUGGAAGUGGAGAUCAUUAUGUUAAAUGAAAUAAGCCAGGCACAGAAAGGCAAACAUGGCAUGUUCUCACUUAUUUGUGGGACCUAAAUUCAAAACAAUUGAACUAAUGGACAUAAAGAGUAGAAGAAUGGUUACCAGAGGCUAGGAAUGGUAGUGGGGGGCUGAAGGGAAGGUGGGGAUGUUUAAUCGGUAAAAAAAAAUUUAGAAGAAUAAGACCUACUAUUUGAUAGCACAAUAGGGGGACUAUAGUCAAUAAUGCACAUUUAAAAAUAGUGUAAUUGAAUGGUUUGUAACUCAAAGGAUAAAUGCUUGAGGGAAUGGAUACCCCAUUCUCCAUGAUGUGCUUAUUUCACAUUGCAUACCUGUAUCAAAACAUCUCAUGUACCCCAUAAAUAUAUGCAGCUAUUAUGUACCCAC